rnacentral:rRNA from 1 species
CUGAACAUUGAGCCUUGAUGUGUAGGAUAGGUGGGAGGCUUUGAAGUGUGGACGCCAGUCUGCAUGGAGCCGACCUUGAAAUACCACCCUUUAAUGUUUGAUGUUCUAACGUGGACCCGUGAUCCGGGUUGCGGACAGUGUCUGGUGGGUAGUUUGACUGGGGCGGUCUCCUCCUAAAGAGUAACGGAGGAGCACGAAGGUUGGCUAAUCCUGGUCGGACAUCAGGAGGUUAGUGCAAUGGCAUAAGCCAGCUUGACUGCGAGCGUGACGGCGCGAGCAGGUGCGAAAGCAGGUCAUAGUGAUCCGGUGGUUCUGAAUGGAAGGGCCAUCGCUCAACGGAUAAAAGGUACUCCGGGGAUAACAGGCUGAUACCGCCCAAGAGUUCAUAUCGACGGCGGUGUUUGGCACCUCGAUGUCGGCUCAUCACAUCCUGGGGCUGAAGUAGGUCCCAAGGGUAUGGCUGUUCGCCAUUUAAAGUGGUACGCGAGCUGGGUUUAGAACGUCGUGAGACAGUUCGGUCCCUA